rnacentral:piRNA from 1 species
AGGGUUUGCAGGCAGCUGACAGUCCU